rnacentral:lncRNA from 1 species
AGGGGUGAGCGCGGUGCGGUUCGGUGCGGUUAUUAGCUAAAACCUCACCACUAACCGCAAAUGCGGUUAAUCUAUUUUGAAAACCGCAUGGUGCGGUUAUUUUUGCGGUGCGGUUAGGCGGUUAUUUUUGCGGUGCGGUUUUGUUUUUUCUGUGUUGCGGUUAUUAACCGCAUGGAUUUGGUGCGGUUAUUUUGUGUGGUUUUUAACCACAGUUUAGAGCUCAAACGCUUUUA